rnacentral:rRNA from 1 species
CCAAUAGCGUAUAUUAAAGUUGUUGCAGUUAAAAAGCUCGUAGUUGAAUUUCGGGAUCAAUUUAUUGGUCGUGCUAUUGUACGUACUGGUAUUAUUGAUUCCUACCUUCUGACGAACCAUGAUGUCAUUAAUUUGGUGUCAUGGGGAAUCAGGACUGUUACUUUGAAAAAAUUAGAGUGUUUAAAGCAGGCUCACGCUUGAAUACAUUAGCAUGGAAUAACGAAAUAGGACGUUUGAUUCUAUUUUGUUGGUUUCUAGGAUCGACGUAAUGAUUAAUAGGGAUAGUUGGCGGCAUUAGUAUUCAAUUGUCAGAGGUGAAAUUCUUGGAUUUAUUGAAGACUAACUACUGCGAAAGCAUUUGCCAAGGAUGUUUUCAUUAAUCAAGAACGAAAGUUAGGGGAUCGAAGACGAUCAGAUACCGUCGUAGUCUUAACCAUAAACUAUGCCGACUAGGGAUCGGAUGAUGUUAAUUUUUUAAUGACUCAUUCGGCGCCUUACG